GGAGCUGUAGUUCAGUGGUAGAAUAUCGGAUUCCAAUUAAAGGGAGUAUCCGCCGGUCGCAGGUUCAAUCCCUGUCAGCUUCA
rfam:Cryptococcus depauperatus CBS 7841 supercont1.30, whole genome shotgun sequence.